rnacentral:snRNA from 1 species
GUGGUUGCUUGGGCAGCACAUAAUACUAAAAUUGGAACCAUACAGAGAAGAUUAGCAUGGCCCCUGUGCAAAGAUGACACAAAAAUUAAAAAAAAACUAACAUUAUGU